ACUAACAGUUUAGUAGCGAAACCACAUUCCUUCACCCAACGUGAACCUCUCCGCGCCCCGCUCGCUGCCAGGCGGCCUCCGAGGCCGAGGCCGGCUUGGGAAGGCUCCGGCACCCCCCCCAGCCGGCUCCCCUCACCCCGUGGGCCUCGCCGGCUUGUCGCGGGGGCCCUGGGGGAUAAAGGAGCCCCCGGGCGAGGUCGCUUCCCUCCGGCUCCGGCCCUGCCUUUUGCUCCCGGCUUUCCCCCGCCUGCCGGUGCCCCGCUGCCGGCCUGGGGAGCGCCCGCGGCACGGCGCUGCCUCCGCGGGGAGGGAAGGAGGCAAGGAUGCAAAGAGAUCCCCUUGUUGCUGCAUAAUCCAACAGUAAAUGGAAGAAACACUCUGGAGCUGUGGCACCCCGUGCAUCACCAGCCCCUGUGCACGGCACCAUCCGAGCAUCAGUGCCAGCUGAGCAUCCUGCCCUGGCUUUGCCUUCGGGAUUUGGGAGACCCAUCGAGGGGAAGCAAGGUGUGGGGAGAGCGAGGUAUUUCUUGGGGGGAUGGCCAAGAAGAGCCUGGAGGGCAGGGGAAGAUGCUGGUUGACCCCAGGCAGGUGUGAGGCCCUACCCGGAGUGGGGUGAUGCUGGGGGUUAAAGGAGCAGGGCGCAGAGGGCAGGCAGGGCCUUCACACAGCUCGCAGGAACCAGGGGGUGAAUUCCAGCACACCAGAGGGGGCUGGCAGGGCCUUGGGCUCAUGAAAGCUCACAGGGAGCUCGGUGCAGGAGUGAGGGCUGUGGAAGUGCUUGGGAAUCCCUGGAAUAAGGUUUUGGUGCCCGUAUUAUGAGAGCGCAAUGAAAGUGCUGUGUCAGUCUCUGGGCUGAAGGGCAGCCAUUGCCAUGGGACAUGCCAGGCAGCUCCUCAGCCUGCCUUCAACGCCUGUUACAAAGCACCUUUCCUGAGGGAGCCUUUGCACUGCACAGGCUAAACAAGAGUAAGAAGGUACUGCGUGGCAGGAUUCACUUUUUCAGGGAAAAUACGAGAAGCUCUUAAUUUCUGAUAUAGUGAUAAGAGGAGAUCAGGAGAUUCAAUUACAUGCAUGCUCACAGUGCUGGCUGAGCAACUUGCCAUCGGUGUAGAACGGGGAUGGGUGUUUUUACAGUGACUCAUUGAUUGUUCAUGUGGAAGCGAGUAAGUCAAGGGAGAUGGAAAUGCUUAAAGACAGGAAGACAUUACUAACAGUCCAAACUGCAACAGGCUGAUUGCUAACCACGUCUAACACUAACAGAGGCUGAGGCUGGCUCUAUCCAAACGGGAUAGUGAGCUCCUGUUCGGCUCUACCCCAGGUGUGAAUUCGGCAGACACGUGGACAAGGGCAUGAUGAGACACACGCCUGGGGGAUAAUUCUGCCUGGAAUGUUGUUUUGUGCAGUGUUGGAUUUACCUGUAUGUGGGAGCUAAAGUCUUGGAUUUUAUCUUAACUCCUUGCAAACUUUAAACUAGAGGGAAAAACAGUGCUUCCUGACAGGCCUGUGUUGAUGGAACAGCAAAAUCUUGUCACCUACAAUCUGUGGGUACCUUUUCUGUAAGAAGUGGUGAUGUGUGGGAUGCACUCUGGUCCCUGACUUCACACAGAACAUUUCCUAAAUGAACUUUGCAAUGCAGAUCUGUGUGUGUGGGUAAGGAUGAAUCCUUUCACAUGACCUCAAUGUCUGUAUACUUUCAGUGAGUCAGGAUUUGGAUUUUAUUUUUUCCCUGCCUUACAUUUCCUCCUUUCUUUUAUAACUAUGGUUUUGGAUCUUAGUAGCAUACUGCAAAAUUUGUAAGAGUAAUGAAAAAAGUUGUUUCUUUGUGGUGGUGAUGAUGAUUUUUUUUUUUUCCCAAUUACAGGAAAGAAUGAAAAAUGACUGGAGAGAAAACCUAGAUGAAUUUAAGAUUUUCAGAAAACAAUGUAGAAAUUCAUUGAAAACAUUUGCCCAAAGUCCCACUGCCCAUCAAUAAUUACAGAUCUGCUGUGCAUAUUUUCCGAAAGUAGUUGACCAUUUAAGUUGGUAUAUAUAACAGAUGAGAAGGAUCUGUGCAAAUCUGUGUAGGUUUGUGACAGCAGGGCAGACUCUUGGGGGGGAAGAGGGAAAUGGAAAGGAAACCAGAAACAGAGUGAAUCUUUUCGUGUGGUCUGACAGGCAGAUGGAAAGCAUGAAUUACAAAGGCUUUUAAAAAGAUCUGUUUGGGGUUUAUGUUUACAAGGAGACUUAACAAGACUGGCUGGCCUUAAAAUGCUGAGGUCUUUGCUAAAAUCAGAUGUUUGGAAGUGGAAUGGGUUACUAGCCCUGACCCAGAAUACAGAAGAGGUUCACAGAGAUUCAACAAGACAGGAGCAGGGGCAGUACACCCAUAAACCCUUCAUCAGAUUUGGAAAAGGGCUUAGAGGUCAGCAGGACGUGGAGUCGGGGAAGGGAGGAGGGCAUGGCCCUUGAUAAAUGGAGCUGGAUCCAGAGACCAGGAACUUCUGACUGAGAGCAGCCACGGCACCAGGAGAAGACACUGCCAGAACAAGCUUGGAUUUGUGCAGCAGGGACUGACUUUCUGAUGAAACAGAUUUAUAGGGAACAAAGGUAUCAAAAUAUCACCUCACUUUCUUGUAAGCGGGAUACGGGAUAUUGAUUUCUUCUCAUGGCCUGGGGAAGCCCGUGAUCUACUUGGGUAGAACCUAUGGAUUUCCCCAGUUUCCUAAAUCUCCUGCUUGAAAGGUUAGCCGUAGAUAUUUACAGCCAAAUGAAUGGAGCUAAUAGUGGAGAUUAUAAUUUAAAGAGCUUUUGCUUUGCAAGGGAAGACUCGGAUAUCUCACGCUGGUUAUGAGAAUUUAAUUAAAGACCUGUUCAAUAGGAGUAAAUGGCACAUGUUCAUGCACACAGAAGAUGAAAUAAAACUGCGGUGCUCAGUCUAGUGCA
rnacentral:lncRNA from 1 species